GUGGGGAAUAUUGGACAAUGGGCGCAAGCCUGAUCCAGCCAUGCCGCGUGAGUGAUGAAGGCCCUAGGGUUGUAAAGCUCUUUCACCGGUGAAGAUAAUGACGGUAACCGGAGAAGAAGCCCCGGCUAACUUCGUGCCAGCAGCCGCGGUAAUACGAAGGGGGCUAGCGUUGUUCGGAAUUACUGGGCGUAAAGCGCACGUAGGCGGGUAUUUAAGUCAGGGGUGAAAUCCCGGAGCUCAACUCCGGAACUGCCUUUGAUACUGGGUACCUAGAGUAUGGAAGAGGUAAGUGGAAUUCCGAGUGUAGAGGUGAAAUUCGUAGAUAUUCGGAGGAACACCAGUGGCGAAGGCGGCUUACUGGUCCAUUACUGACGCUGAGGUGCGAAAGCGUGGGGAGCAAACAGGAUUAGAUACCCUAGUAGUCC
rnacentral:rRNA from 1 species